rnacentral:rRNA from 1 species
UACGUAGGGUGCAAGCGUUGUCCGGAAUUAUUGGGCGUAAAGAGCUCGUAGGCGGUUUGUCGCGUCUGCUGUGAAAAUCCAGGGCUUAACCCUGGACCUGCAGUGGGUACGGGCAGACUAGAGUGCGGUAGGGGAGAUCGGAAUUCCUGGUGUAGCGGUGAAAUGCGCAGAUAUCAGGAGGAACACCAAUGGCGAAAGCAGGUAACUGGACUAUUACUGACACUAAACUGCGAAAGCUAGGGGAGCAAACAGG